AUGAAUUAACAAGAUUACCAGUGGAGAUGUUCGAGUCGUGUACGUCUCUCCGAGAGCUGAAGUUGUCCUAUUGCCGCAGUCUGGUCUCCUUUCCCCUUGAUUUGCGACGAACCCCUUCUCUCGAGAGCUUCUCGUUACGGAGGUGUCCCAACUUGAUUGCUGAGAUGCCUAGUGGAUUUGGCUAUCUUACGAGCUUAAGGAAAGUGGAGAUUGGUCCCUUCUCAGAUUACUCAGUAAUCGAAUUUGAUUGGGCUGGAUUAGCAUCUUCAUCAUCACUCCGACACGUGUCUUUGCAUGGGAUGCCUGACACGAAAUCUCUGCCACAUCAGCUUCAAGACUUGACUACCAUCACAUCACUAUCUCUAAGUGGCUUCGGAGCAAUCGAAGCCUUAUCAGAUUGGCUUGGGAACCUUGCAUCUCUUGAAGAGCUAAUCCUAUUCAAUUGCCCAAAGCUUGAAUAUUUACCCUCCGUAGAUGCCAUGGAACGCCUCAAAUUAAGAUGUCUGGAAAUUUGGUAUUGUCCUCUAUUAACCGAAAGAUGCACUCCUCAAAGCGGCUCCGAGUGGCCCAAGAUCUCUAAUAUUCCGGAGCGUAAAAGUGAUUAAAAGUCAUCUUUCCGAGCCAUCGGACACUGCAGAAGACGUGAAGCUGCUGAAGCAAAAUGGGGUGAUCAAGGGUGCUCUCAUGGAUGAUGAAAUUGCUGAUCAAUUCAAUGGUAUAAAGAGAUGUUACGCCGGCUCAGAUCAGAACUCCAACAUUGAGGUUGCCAUUGACAAAGUUAACAACUUCUACAGCAAGAAACUUUUGGUCAUGACGGUUAGACGGUAGGAGGAGGACUUGUAUGCUUCAUGGAAAUGUCUGGCCGUGGUUUCCACUGUGGCGCUGCGGGUCGUACUUAGCAUGCAGACGUUUUGCGAGUUCUAUCAAUGCAGCAAAGUCUGGAACUUCAACAAGUGUCAUCUCUAUCAGCACCGGCAAGUAAAAUAAUUUGUUUAGGCACCAAGGUUCCCGUGUUGUUCUUAUGAGAAUGGCAAGAUGGAGAAGUUAUUUUCACUUAUCAGCCAGAUUUUGAAGAUGGAAGGUAGUUAUUUGGUUUUUCCCACCAGAAUGCCAUAUAUUGCUCAGAAUGCAGAAGCAUGCUGAAAACAGAGUGGCUUGUGCCAGGCUUGUAGAAAGUAAUGUGGAUGGAGAAGAAUUAGAGGGGAGCAUGGCAGCUAGUACUAGAGAGCUAUCAAGAUACAAGACUUGCUUGAAGAAAACUAGACGUGCUGAUACUUUAGUUCCAGAGGUGGGAAGAUUUGAUGGAAAGAAGUUAGACAUUGUAGACAGCAUUGGUGAUCGUUUGGACGACAUAAACGAAGCAUCUGAUUGCAGUGUCAAUCAUUCAUUUGGAUGGCAAAAGUUCAAAGUUUUGGUGCUGCAAUUGUAGAUGCAAGAAUUUCUACAUCCUUGUUCAAAGGUUCCUGCCAGAUCUUGCAAGGCCUUUGUAAAUUGGACAAUAGGUCAUACUUUUCCACUCAAGAACAAGAGAGACUCAUGGUACAACUAUGCUAACAGUUAGUCAUUCUAGGUACCAGGCUCAGUGUUGAAUUUGUUUUAGUAAAAUAACGAACCCUAAGUACCAUCUUGGUUCUUAGCUAACUUAAUUAUUUUGACAUGCCUACUUUAAGAUAAAUAGUCACAAUCCAAAAAUUUGCAGUUUGAAUGAUCAAUAAACAGGUUUUGUUAUU